UACGUAGGGCGCAAGCGUUAUCCGGAAUUAUUGGGCGUAAAGAGCUCGUAGGCGGUUUGUCGCGUCUGCCGGGAAAGUCCGGGGCUCAACUCCGGAUCUGCGGUGGGUACGGGCAGACUAGAGUGAUGUAGGGGAGACUGGAAUUCCUGGUGUAGCGGUGAAAUGCGCAGAUAUCAGGAGGAACACCGAUGGCGAAGGCAGGUCUCUGGGCAUUAACUGACGCUGAGGAGCGAAAGCAUGGGGAGCGAACAGG
rnacentral:rRNA from 1 species